GAACCGUGCAAACGUUAUUCGGAAUCACUGGGCUUAAAGGGCGCGUAGGCGGGUGAUCAAGUCAAUGGUGAAAUCCUCCAGCUUAACUGGAGAAGUGCCUUUGAUACUGAUUGUCUAGAGGGAGGUAGGGGCAUGUGGAACUUCAGGUGGAGCGGUGAAAUGCGUAGAUAUCUGAAGGAACGCCAGUGGCGAAAGCGAUGUGCUGGACCUCUUCUGACGCUGAGGCGCGAAAGCUAGGGGAUCAAACGGGAUUAGAUACCCCGGUAGUCCUAGCCCUAAACUAUGGGUACUAGAUUGUGGACUUUCAUGGGUUCACAGUCGAAGCAAAAGUGUUAAGUACCCCGCCUGGGGAGUAUGGUCGCAAGGCUG
rnacentral:rRNA from 1 species